rnacentral:rRNA from 1 species
UGGGGAAUCUUGGACAAUGGGCGCAAGCCUGAUCCAGCCAUGCCGCGUGAGUGAUGAAGGCCCUAGGGUCGUAAAGCUCUUUCGCCAGGGAUGAUAAUGACAGUACCUGGUAAAGAAACCCCGGCUAACUCCGUGCCAGCAGCCGCGGUAAUACGGAGGGGGUUAGCGUUGUUCGGAAUUACUGGGCGUAAAGCGCACGUAGGCGGACCAGAAAGUUGGGGGUGAAAUCCCGGGGGCUCAACCCCCGGAACUGCCUCCAAAACUAUUGGUCUAGAGUUCGAGAGAGGUGAGUGGAAUUCCAAGUGUAGAGGUGAAAUUCGUAGAUAUUUGGAGGAACACCAGUGGCGAAGGCGGCUCACUGGCUCGAUACUGACGCUGAGGUGCGAAAGUGUGGGGAGCAAACAGGAUUAGAUACCCUGGUAGUCCACACCGUAAAACGAUGAAUGCCAGUCGUCGGGUAGCAUGCUAUUCGGUGACACACCUAACGGAUUAAGCAUUCCGCCUGGGGAGUACGGUCGCAAGAUUAAAACUCAAAGGAAUU